rnacentral:rRNA from 1 species
UACGUAGGUGACCAGCGUUGUCCGGAUUUACUGGGCGUAAAGAGCGCGCAGGCGGUCGUUCAAGUCGAGUGUGAAAGCCCCCGGCUCAACUGGGGAGGGUCACUUGAUACUGAUCGACUCGAAGGCAGGAGAGGGAAGCGGAAUUCCCGGUGUAGUGGUGAAAUGCGUAGAUAUCGGGAGGAACACCAGUGGCGAAGGCGACUACCUGGCCUGUUCUUGACGCUGAGGCGCGAAAGCUAGGGGAGCAAACGGG